ensembl:lncRNA
CAUCACUAACACACAGGUAACCACAGACACGGUGCAUCACUAACACUCAGGUAACCACAGACACGGUGCAUCACUAACACUCAGAUGACCACAGACACGGUGCAUCACUAACACUCAGGUAACCACAGACACGGUGCAUCACUAACACUCAGGUAACCACAGACACUGUGCAUCACUAACACACAGGUAACCACAGACACGGUGCAUCACUAACACACAGGUAACCACAGACACGGUGCAUCACUAACACUCAGGUAACCACAGACACGGUGCAUCACUAACACACAGGUAACCACAGACACGGUGCAUCA